ACCUACGGGGGGCAGCAGUGAGGAAUAUUGGUCAAUGGUCGGGAGACUGAACCAGCCAAGCCUCGUGAGGGAUGAAGGUACAGAGUAUCGUAAACCUCUUUUGUCAGGGAACAAAGGCGGGGACGUGUCCCCGGAUGAGUGUACCUGAAGAAAAAGCAUCGGCUAACUCCGUGCCAGCAGCCGCGGUAAUACGGAGGAUGCGAGCGUUAUCCGGAUUUAUUGGGUUUAAAGGGUGCGCAGGCGGUCUGUUAAGUCAGCGGUCAAAGCCCGGGGCUCAACCCCGGCCCGCCGUUGAAACUGGCAGC
rnacentral:rRNA from 1 species